ACAAAACCGAGAGGUAGAGAGAGAGAGACCAACUCUAUAUGCUGAAAUGGUGAAGGAAAAGCAAGGGAAAGCUUGGGAAAAGUGGAGAGUUGAAGAGAGGCUCAAAGCUCAACAAGAAAUUCAACAAAUCAAGACUCCAAGUAAGGUGGGCAUCCAAGGCCUUAUAUCGACUUAAUCCACUGUGGUCAGGCAUCGGAGCAAAGUUAGCAGCGUCAGCCUAAUUUCGUUUUGUCAAGCCAACCUACUGUGCCUCACCACGAGAUUCCAAACCGUUAUUGUCAAGGCUUUGUUUUGGGUGGCCUAAAUCCACCUCUUUUGAAUGAAUGCCAUAUGGAGUCAAGUGAAUAUUUCAUAAGCUAUUUUGGCUUUGGGAUUUAAUUCUCCAACAUGUCUUUUAUUUUGUACUUAGACGUGUUUUGGACUUCAGUUUUUACAUAUAUAGUGAAUAUGGAC